rnacentral:rRNA from 1 species
GACGAACGCUGGCGGCGUGCUUAACACAUGCAAGUCGAACGGGCUCUGUCUGGCUGUGUGCUGGGUGGGGUUAGUGGCGACCGGGUGAGUAAUACGUGAGUAACCUGCCCUCUUCUUUGGGAUAAGCCUUGGAAACGGGGUCUAAUACUGGAUAUUCCUGUCUGGUCGCAUGGCUGGGUGGGGAAAGUUUUUUUCGGUGGGGGAUGGGCUCGCGGCCUAUCAGCUUGUUGGUGGGGUGAUGGCCUACCAAGGCGUCGACGGGUAGCCGGCCUGAGAGGGUGACCGGCCACACUGGGACUGUGAUACGGCCCAGACUCCUACGGGAGGCAGCAGUGGGGGAGAUUGCACAAUGGGCGCAAGCCUGAUGCAGCGACGCCGCGUGGGGGAUGACGGCUUUCGGGUUGUAAACCUCUUUCGUCGGGGGACAAGGCUCUGCUUGGUGGUGGGGUUGAGGGUACCCGGUGAAGAAGCGCCGGCUAACUACGUG